AUUGAACGCUGGCGGCAGGCCUAACACAUGCAAGUCGAACGAGUGGCGGACGGGUGAGUAAUGUCUGGGAAACUGCCCGAUGGAGGGGGAUAACUACUGGAAACGGUAGCUAAUACCGCAUACCAUCGGAUGUGCCCAGAUGGGAUUAGCUAGUAGGUGGGGUAACGGCUCACCUAGGCGACGAUCCCUAGCUGGUCUGAGAGGAUGACCAGGCACAACUGAAAUUGGACCCGGGCCCGAAUCCCACGGGGGGGAGGCGGGGGGAAAAUUUGCACAUUGGCGGAAACCCGGUGGAGCCAUGCCCGGGUGAAGAAGAAGGCCUUCGGGUUGUAAAGUACUUUCAGCGAGGAGGCGUUACUCGCAGAAGAAGCACCGGCUAACUCCGUGCCAGCAGCCGCGGUAAUAC
rnacentral:rRNA from 1 species